rnacentral:lncRNA from 1 species
ACAGGGUCAUCUAUGAAUGAAGGUCCUAAUAUGAAUCGAGUAGGAUCUGAUUCAACGAAUUGACGAAGGAGAGUGUAAUCCAAGGAAGGAGAUGAAGGAAGAGGAGAAAGUGGCGCCAUCUCAGAAAAAAUCAAAGGAGAUGGUGAAAACGGUGAAAAACCUAAAAGUAGAAGACGAAAAGGGAGAAGUCGAAAUUAUCAGGCAAAGACGAAGAAGAAAGAAAACGUGGAGAAGAAGAAAACGAGAAAGAGAAAAAGUGGGAAAGAAGAGGAGCUGUCGGAUGGAAUUGCGAAGCUGGCCUUAACAAUGAAAAGACGACUGCAAUAAAUGUGACCUAAUUAAUGCUGCAUAUAAGACAAAUGGAAUGUAGGAGAUCGUGGCCGUCAAAGGUGAAAGGACGGCUGGGAGAGAGACGGUACAAAGCAAUUCUGAAUGAUGAUUUUGAAACUCGCGUCUUUGGAAAGGAUCACGUCAGUUACCGAAUUAUCUAUUCGGGAGCUGCCGAGGGGACAUGUCACGCCCCGCCCCGAAACCAUUACCAAUUUGGCACGAUUCGGCCGCGGCGACGGUCCGCCGAACGGACAGCACCUCCCCUGUCCGCCCAAGGCUCAACAACAGGAAUGUGUACAAGAAUUUACCCAGGACUUAAAUUCUAAACAUACACAUUCAACGAGGGCACAAACAGUGCCAACAACAAGAAGGGCAAGUAAUCCACCAGAUAUACGAGUGAAAUAAAGAGAGUACUUUACUAACUAUUACAAUAGUUGCAUUC